CUUCGUUCUUGGCAUGCAUGCUGUUUCCCCAGUCUCCUGUGUGUGUGUGUUGAGGCACAAAAAGGUGCAGUGCUAUGUCUUCAGUGCCAGGAUGUUUCUUGUCUUCUGGUUCUAUUCUCAGUCGCUGGUACACUA